GUUAUGUGAUAUAUUGCAGGUGUCUAAAUAUUAAGUUAACAACUUGAUUGCAGUGAGUAAUUAAAAGAAGUUUAGAGCAAGUGACAAGAUAUCACAUAACCCUCGAUCAUAUAAUGAUCUGCAAGCAUGUAGUCCAAUGGAAACACACAUACGUAGCCACAAAAUAAUUUAUGUUCCAAUAAAAAUAAGCUCUCCCAUUGGAUGUAUUUGAUUAUUGUGCUGAUUCGUCAUUUUUUAUUUCACAGAAAUUUUUUUAUUUUUUGCUGAAUUAAAGCUUGCUCGAUGGAACCCCAACUGGUGCUUCUCUGGAUCUCUUUUCUACAGCUCGAGAAAGCUUCUUGACCGCAUCUUUUGGCAGAUGACGAGGUCGGCUCAGCCAAAGUCCUCCAUCAACAAUUACAGUGGUUCCAUUAACAAAUUUACCAGCAUCAGAAGUUAGGUAGAGAGCAGCCAUAGCAAUGUCCCAUUUCUUCCCCAAUUUAUACAGAGGCAUGUAUUCUUUUGCUUUGCUAUUAAUCUCCUUGGGCACAAGUUUACUCAUGCCAGGGGUAUCAUCAAUGGGGCCUGGAGCAAUCCCAUUCACCCUAAUAUCAUAGUCGGUGCCCCACUCCAAUGCCAGAUUUCUGGCAAUAGCAUCAACAGCUGCCUUCGCAGCUGAUACAUGAAUCUGAUACCAAGAUGCUGUAUAGUGCAACGUAGCACUAAUGUUUAAAAUUGUUCCACCACCAGAUGAGCUUCGUCCAAGCCCUCCUUUCUUGAGAUACUUGAGGGCUUCAUGGCACAUUGUGAAGGUGCCAACAGCAUCGAUAUCCAAAACUGUUCGAAAUCCAUUAGGCGACAAAUCCUCCGGCGAUACAAGAAAGUUGCCAGCUGCAGCAUUCACAAGAAUGUC
rnacentral:misc_RNA from 1 species